GAUGAACGCUGGCGGCGUGCCUAAUACAUGCAAGUCGAGCGAACAGACGAGGAGCUUGCUCCUCUGACGUUGGCGGCGGACGGGUGAGUAACACGUGGAUAACCUACCUAUAAGACUGGGAUAACUUCGGGAAACCGGAGCUAAUACCGGAUAAUAUAUUGAACCGCAUGGUUCAAUAGUGAAAGACGGUUUUGCUGUCACUUAUAGAUGGAUCCGCGCCGCAUUAGCUAGUUGGUAAGGUAACGGCUUACCAAGGCGACGAUGCGUAGCCGACCUGAGAGGGGGGUCGGCCACACUGGAACUUAAACACGGGCCCGACUCCUAAGGGAGGCAGCAGUAUGGAAUCUUCCGCAAUGGGGGGAAGCCUGACGGAGCAAACGCGCGGGAGUGAUGGAGGUCUUCCGAUCGGAAAACUCUGUUAUUAGGGAAGAACAAAUGUGUAAGUAACUAUGCACGUCUUGACGGUACCUAAUCAGAAAGCCACGGCUAACUACGUG
rnacentral:rRNA from 1 species